GAUGAACGCUGGCGGCGUGCCUAAUACAUGCAAGUCGAGCGAACAGACGAGGAGCUUGCUCCUCUGACGUUAGCGGCGGACGGGUGAGUAACACGUGUAUACCCUACCUAUAAGACUGGGAUAACUUCGGGAAACCGGAGCUAAUACCGGAUAAUAUCUUGAACCGUAUGGUUCAAUAGUGAAAGACGGUUUUGCUGUCACUUAUAGCUGGAUCCGCGCCGCAUUAGCUAGUUGGUAAGGUAACGGCUUACCAAGGCAACGAUGCGUAGCCGACGUGAGAGGGUGAUCGGCCACACAGAAGCUGAGACGCGAUCCAGACACCGACGGGAGGCAGCAGUAGCGAAGCGACCGAGAUGGGCGGAAGCCUCACGGAGCAACGGCGCGUGGGUGAUGAAAGUCUUCGGGUCGUAAGACUCUGUUAUGAGGGAAGAACGAAUGUGUAUGUGACUAUGCACGUGUGGACGGUACCGGAACAGAAAGCCACGGCAAACUACGU
rnacentral:rRNA from 1 species